GCGGUCUGUAGCUCAUGUAAGAGCGCUGGUCUUGUAAACCAGAGGUUAAAUUGUAGUAUUUCUACCGCU
rnacentral:tRNA from 1 species